UUAGGAUUUUCUAUGUAUAGUAUCAUGUCAUCUGAAAACAGUGACAGUUUUACUUCUUCUUUUCCAAUUUGUAUUCCUUUUGUUUCUUUUUCUUCUCUGACUGCUGUGUCUAGGACUUCCAAAACUAUGUUGAAUAAGAGUGGCAAGAGUGGACGUCCUUGUCUUGUUCCUGAUCUUAGUGGAAAUGCUUUCAGUUUUUCACCAUUGAGAAUGAUGUUUGCUGUGGAUUUGUCGUACAUGGCCUUUAUUAUGUUGAGGGCCCCCUGUUUAAGGCAGGAGUCCAGGAGCUGUGUCUUUAAAGAAGCCCUUACAGGGAACUCUGUCAGUUGUUCAAGGCUUGCUGCCAACAAACAAUUGAGAGGAAAUGUGGAGCUUCCCUGGUGGCGCAGUGGUUAAGAAUCCGCCUGCCAGUGCAAGGGACACAGAUUCAAGCCCUGGGAAGAUCCCACGUGCCAGGGAGCAACUAAGCCCAUGCACCACAACUACUGAACCUGUGCUCUAGAGCCCGCGAGCCGCAACUACUGAAGCCCAAGCGCCUAGAGGCCGUGCUCCACAACAAGAGAAGCCAUCGCACUGAGAAGCCCGCACACCACAAAGAAGAGUAGCGCCCACACACCGCAUCGAAGAGUAGCCCCCACUCGCCGCAACUAGAGAAAGCCCGACCGGCAGCAAAGAAGACCCA